rnacentral:lncRNA from 1 species
CAGUUGGAGGCUCAUUUUUAACCCCUCAUAGAUGUCUCUUACAAAUUAUCCAGGGUCAUGGAUUAGUUUAAAUACAAAAGCUUAAUUUCCUCUGCUUGGCUACUGUUAUAAGCAAUGAUCAAAAGGAGUCAAGGCACAAACACAGUUGGCUGGAGAGAGAUGGGGCCUGUAAUUCACUGCAGCACUGAGCAGCGCUGAGAUGAAUCAUAACAUUUUGAGCCCUCAAAGAAAGGGAGAAGAAAGGGGACAGAGGCCAGGGAGAGGGGAGGCGCAGUGUUUUCUCAGUUAAAUACAUGUUUUCAUUGCAGUGUGAUGGGCUGAGAGCAAUGAAUGGCCAUGAUUUAGUUAUCUUUUGGAUGGAUGAUUUUAAAUGCUUGUUGGA